AUAGCGUAUAUUAAAGUUGUUGCAGUUAAAAAGCUCGUAGUUGAACUUCAGACCUGGCCGGAUGGUCUACCUCACGGUAUGUACUGUCUGGCUGGGUCUUACCUCUUGGUGAGCCGGCAUGCCCUUUACUGGGUGUGUUGGGGAACCAGGACUUUUACCUUGAGAAAAUUAGAGUGUUCAAAGCAGGCCUAUGCCCGAAUACAUUAGCAUGGAAUAAUAAAAUAGGACGUGCGGUUCUAUUUUGUUGGUUUCUAGAGUCGCCGUAAUGAUUAAUAGGGAUAGUUGGGGGCAUUGGUAUUGAGUCGCUAGAGGUGAAAUUCUUGGAUUGACUCAAGACCAACUAUUG
rnacentral:rRNA from 1 species